rnacentral:rRNA from 2 species
GUGCUUGCAUCAUGAUUUACAUUUGAGUGAGUGGCGAACUGGUGAGUAACACGUGGGAAACCUGCCCAGAAGCGGGGGAUAACACCUGGAAACAGAUGCUAAUACCGCAUAACAACUUGGACCGCAUGGUCCGAGCUUGAAAGAUGGCUUCGGCUAUCACUUUUGGAUGGUCCCGCGGCGUAUUAGCUAGAUGGUGGGGUAACGGCUCACCAUGGCAAUGAUACGUAGCCGACCUGAGAGGGUAAUCGGCCACAUUGGGACUGAGACACGGCCCAAACUCCUACGGGAGGCAGCAGUAGGGAAUCUUCCACAAUGGACGAAAGUCUGAUGGAGCAACGCCGCGUGAGUGAAGAAGGGUUUCGGCUCGUAAAACUCUGUUGUUAAAGAAGAACAUAUCUGAGAGUAACUGUUCAGGUAUUGACGGUAUUUAACCAGAAAGCCACGGCUAACUACGUGCCAGCAGCCGCGGUAAUACGUAGGUGGCAAGCGUUGUCCGGAUUUAUUGGGCGUAAAGCGAGCGCAGGCGGUUUUUUAAGUCUGAUGUGAAAGCCUUCGGCUCAACCGAAGAAGUGCAUCGGAAACUGGGAAACUUGAGUGCAGAAGAGGACAGUGGAACUCCAUGUGUAGCGGUGAAAUGCGUAGAUAUAUGGAAGAACACCAGUGGCGAAGGCGGCUGUCUGGUCUGUAACUGACGCUGAGGCUCGAAAGUAUGGGUAGCAAACAGGAUUAGAUACCCUGGUAGUCCAUACCGUAAACGAUGAAUGCUAAGUGUUGGAGGGUUUCCGCCCUUCAGUGCUGCAGCUAACGCAUUAAGCAUUCCGCCUGGGGAGUACGGCCGCAAGGCUGAAACUCAAAGGAAUUGACGGGGGCCCGCACAAGCGGUGGAGCAUGUGGUUUAAUUCGAAGCUACGCGAAGAACCUUACCAGGUCUUGACAUACUAUGCAAAUCUAAGAGAUUAGACGUUCCCUUCGGGGACAUGGAUACAGGUGGGUGCAUGGUUGUCGUCAGCUCGUGUCCUGAAAAUGUUGGGGUUAAGUCCCGCAACGAGCGCAACCCUUAUUAUCAGUUGCCAGCAUUAAGUUGGGCACUCUGGUGAGACUGCCGGUGACAACCCGAGGGAAGGGGGGGGGAGGACGUCAAAAAACCAUG